UACGUAGGGUGCAAGCGUUAAUCGGAAUUACUGGGCGUAAAGCGUGCGCAGGCGGUCCGUUAAGACAGACGUGAAAUCCCCAGGCUUAACUUGGGAACUGCGUCUGAUACUGGAGGGCUUGAGUGCGGGAGAGGGAUGUGGAAUUCCAGGUGUAGCGGUGAAAUGCGUAGAUAUCAGGAAGAACACCUAUGGCGAAGGCAGCUCUCUGGGACGGUACUGACGCUGAGACGCGAAAGCGUGGGGAGCGAACAGG
rnacentral:rRNA from 1 species